UAAUAAUAUCUAAUAUACCCCUACUAAAAACUUUCCAAAUAUCUAAUGUAUUCCUUUUGUUUCAAAUAUGUCUCUAGUAUAUUUUUCCGCUACUCAAAAAUAUUUUUAUUGUUAGUACCCAUUAAGCUAUCUCGGAUUAAACCCGAGUUAAAUUUUUACCAGAAUUUAAAAAAAAAUCAAAAUACCUUUUUUGCCCCUAACUUAAAGGCAAACAAAAAAAAGUUGGUAAUAGUAGAAGAGUAUAUUUAAAAAGAUAAAAAAAAAAUCAAAAUAUUUAUUUUAUCCCACUGAUUAACAUAGAAGAGUAUAUAUAUAUAUUUGAAAAAGUAAAAUAAUAAUUUUACAGAGAUAACGACUAUUGCUAAUAGUUAGUUAACAAAAUUUAAUUCUACGAAUAUAUUUGAAAUAAUUUGAAACAUUAAAAAGAUAAUUUUUAAUAUUAGCUAUCUAUAAGAGAUA
rnacentral:lncRNA from 1 species